AUGUGUGGAGCACUCGGUAGUUCCGAGACUGAUCACCCAGAAACAACCGCCGCCGGUUCCGACUGGAGCUUGGCUGUUGACGGGCACGGUCAUCCAAUUCUUUCUGCAGCCGCUCGAGGCGGUCAUCCUCGGCCAGAGUGGCCAAACGCGUUGACUCUUAUGGCCAGGGCCUCGAGAGUCGUCCCCGUGAUGGGGGUGCAUAGUGCCUCCUUGUUCCUCUACCGAAGUUCCUCCCUCUGCUCCCGAGUGAGGGGUUGGGGAACGUAUCGCACAUGGCCAGCAAAGUGGUCAGCACCGAGGUCGUCGUUGGUGUGCCCGUGCGAAGCGCCAUCGAGGCCGUCGCGAGCGCCCGCGUAUCCCGGAGGACCGUGCUGCUCUGUGCCGGCCAUCAAGACUUCCGCCGUGGACUCAAUGCUCUUGCACUCGGACCCAUCCAUGGAAUCCUCGUGGAGACAGGCGAAAAGAUCGAGGGCGGGCUCGUCGGGCUCGAGCACCGCCACCUGCACAGUCGCGGCCUAG
rnacentral:rRNA from 1 species